AUGCAGUCGAGGGGUAUAGGUUUUCGGACCUAGAGACCGGCGCACGGGUGCGUAACGCGUAUGCAAUCUACCUUUUACAGAGGGAUAGCCCAGAGAAAUUUGGAUUAAUACCUCAUAGCAUUGCAGAAUGGCAUCAUUCAGCAAUUAAAGUCACAACGGUAAAAGAUGAGCAUGCGUCCCAUUAGCUUGUUGGUAAGGUAACGGCUUACCAAGGCAACGAUGGGUAGGGGUCCUGAGAGGGAGAUCCCCCACACUGGUACUGAGACACGGACCAGACUCCUACGGGAGGCAGCAGUGAGGAAUAUUGGUCAAUGGGCGCAAGCCUGAACCAGCCAUGCCGCGUGCAGGAUGAAGCAUCUAUGGUGUGUAAACUGCUUUUGUACGAGAAGAAACACUCCUUCGUGAAGGAGCUUGACGGUAUCGUAAGAAUAAGGACCGGCUAACUCCGUGCCAGCAGCCGCGGUAAUACGGAGGGUCCAAGCGUUAUCCGGAAUCAUUGGGUUUAAAGGGUCCGUAGGCGGUUUUGUAAGUCAGUGGUGAAAGCCCAUCGCUCAACGGUGGAACGGCCAUUGAUACUGCAAGACUUGAAUUAUUAGGAAGUAACUAGAAUAUGUAGUGUAGCGGUGAAAUGCUUAGAUAUUACAUGGAAUACCAAUUGCGAAGGCAGGUUACUACUAAUGGAUUGACGCUGAUGGACGAAAGCGUGGGUAGCGAACAGGAUUAGAUACCCUGGUAGUCCACGCCGUANACGAUGGAUACUAGCUGUUCGGAGCAAUCUGAGUGGCUAAGCGAAAGUGAUAAGUAUCCCACCUGGGGAGUACGUUCGCAAGAAUGAAACUCAAAGGAAUUGACGGGGGCCCGCACAAGCGGUGGAGCAUGUGGUUUAAUUCGAUGAUACGCGAGGAACCUUACAAAGCUUAAAUGUAGAUUGACCG
rnacentral:rRNA from 1 species